rnacentral:rRNA from 1 species
UACAUGUGGGGCAAGCGUUGUUCGGAAUUACUGGGCAUAAAGGGUGCGUAGGCGGUUUGUUAAGUCACUGGUGAAAGUUUUCGGCCCAACCGGAAAAUUGCCUGUGAUACUGGCGAACUUGAGUGCGUGAGGGGUGGGGGGAACGAGCAGUGUAGCGGUGAAAUGCGUAGAUAUUGCUCGGAAGGCCGGAGCCGAAGGGGCCCCACUGGUACGUAACUGACGCUGAGGCACGAAAGCGUGGGGAGCAAACAGGG